GUGACUGCGUACCUUUUGUAUAAUGGGUCAGCGACUUAUAUUCAGUGGCGAGGUUAACCGUAUAGGGGAGCCGUAGGGAAACCGAGUCUUAACUGGGCGACACAGUCGCUGGAUAUAGACCCGAAACCGAGCGAUCUAUCCAUGAGCAGGGUGAAGGUUGAGUAACAUCAACUGGAGGCCCGAACCAGGAUCUGUUGAAAAAGAUUUGGAUGACUUGUGGAUCGGAGUGAAAGGCUAAUCAAGCUCGGAGAUAGCUGGUUCUCCUCGAAAGCUAUUUAGGUAGCGCCUCACGUAUCACCGCCGGGGGUAGAGCACUGUUUCGGCUAGGGGGUCAUCCCGACUUACCAACCCGAGGCAAACUCCGAAUACCGGUGAGUGCCAGCGUGGGAGACACACGGCGGGUGCUAACGUCCGUCGUGAAAAGGGAAACAACCCAGACCGUCAGCUAAGGUCCCCAAAUCCUGGUUAAGUGGGAAACGAUGUGGGAAGGCUCAGACAGCUAGGAGGUUGGCUUAGAAGCAGCCAUCCUUUAAAGAAAGCGUAAUAGCUCACUAGUCGAGUCGGCCUGCGCGGAAGAUGUAACGGGGCUAAACCAGGUACCGAAGCUACGGGUUCA
rnacentral:rRNA from 2 species